UACGUAGGGUGCAAGCGUUGUCCGGAAUUAUUGGGCGUAAAGAGCUCGUAGGCGGUUUGUCACGUCGGGAGUGAAAACCUGGGGCUUAACCCCGGGCCUGCUUUCGAUACGGGCAGACUAGAGUUCGGCAGGGGAGACUGGAAUUCCUGGUGUAGCGGUGAAAUGCGCAGAUAUCAGGAGGAACACCGGUGGCGAAGGCGGGUCUCUGGGCCGAUACUGACGCUGAGGAGCGAAAGCGUGGGGAGCGAACAGG
rnacentral:rRNA from 1 species